AGAUGAAGGAGAAAUGGUUGAGAGGAAUGAAGGAGGUGAGUAAGGGUUUGGGGUUUCUUUUUUUUUUUUAAUUUUGAGAAUGAAAAUUAUUAAAAUAAGACAAGUGUUUUUGAUUUUUUUCAAUUAGGACUAGUGUAGGGAUGACAGAGAAAAUGUUGGAGUGAAAGAGAUGAAAGAGAAAGGUUGAGAGGAAUGAGAGAGGCGAAUAAGGGAUUGGGGAUUUCUUUUUUUAUUUUUUUNAAUUUUGAGAAUGAAAAUUAUUAAAAUACCCUUAACCUUAAAACUUAGAAUUCAUGAUAUAANGNUAUUUUUGUCUACUGAAACCCGGUACACAUUGCUAAAAUGUACCAACUAAAAAGUAGGCGUA
rnacentral:lncRNA from 1 species